rnacentral:rRNA from 1 species
AUUGAACGCUGGCGGCAGGCCUAACACAUGCAAGUCGAGCGGAUGAGUGGAGCUUGCUCCACGAUUCAGCGGCGGAAGGGUGAGUAAUGCCUAGGAAUCUGCCUGGUAGUGGGGGACAACGUUUCGAAAGGAACGCUAAUACCGCAUACGUCCUACGGGAGAAAGCAGGGGACCUUCGGGCCUUGCGCUAUCAGAUGAGCCUGGGUCGGAUUAGCUAGUUGGUGAGGUAACGGCUCACCAAGGCGACGAUCCGUAACUGGUCUGAGAGGAUGAUCAGUCACACUGGAACUGAGACACGGUCCAGACUCCUACGGGAGGCAGCAGUGGGGAAUAUUGGACAAUGGGCGAAAGCCUGAUCCAGCCAUGCCGCGUGUGUGAAGAAUGUCUUCUGAUUGUAAAGCACUUUAAGUUGGGAGGAAGGGCAGUAAGUUAAUACCUUGCUGUUUUGACGUUACCGACAGAAUAAGCACCGGCUAACUUCGUGCCAGCAGCCGCAGUAA